rfam:Candidatus Staskawiczbacteria bacterium RIFCSPHIGHO2_01_FTLL_39_25 rifcsphigho2_01_scaffold_1124, whole genome shotgun sequence.
CGGGGUAUAGUAUAACGGCAUUAUGCACGGCUGGGGGUCGUGUGACCUGGGUUCAACUCCCAGUACCCCGA